UACAGAGGUGGCAAGCGUUGUUCGGAAUUACUGGGCGUAAAGCGCGUGUAGGCGGCCUUGCAAGUUGGGUGUGAAAGCCCUCGGCUUAACCGAGGAAGUGCGCCCAAAACUACAAGGCUUGAGUACCGGAGAGGGCGGCGGAAUUCCCGGUGUAGAGGUGAAAUUCGUAGAUAUCGGGAGGAACACCAGUGGCGAAGGCGGCCGCCUGGACGGAUACUGACGCUGAGACGCGAAAGCGUGGGGAGCAAACAGG
rnacentral:rRNA from 1 species